UACAGAGGGUGCAAGCGUUGUCCGGAAUCACUGGGCGUAAAGGCGCGUAGGCGGCCCGAUAAGUAGGGGGUGAAAUCUUGCGGCUCAACCGCAAGGCUGCCUUCUAGACUGUCGGGGCUUGAGCACAGUAGAGGCAGGUGGAAUUCCCGGUGUAGCGGUGGAAUGCGUAGAGAUCGGGAAGAACAUCGGUGGCGAAGGCGGCCUGCUGGGCUGUUGCUGACGCUGAGGCGCGACAGCGUGGGGAGCAAACAGG
rnacentral:rRNA from 1 species